rnacentral:rRNA from 1 species
GGAUGAACGCUGGCGGCGUGCCUAAUACAUGCACGUCGAACGCUUCACUUCGGUGACGAGUGGCGAACGGGUGAGUAAUACAUAAGUAACCUGGCAUCUACAGGGGGAUAACUGAUGGAAACGUCAGCUAAGACCGCAUAGGUGUAGAGAUCGCAUGAACUCUAUAUGAAAAGUGCUACGGGACUGGUAGAUGAUGGACUUAUGGCGCAUUAGCUUGUUGGUAGGGUAACGGCCUACCAAGGCGACGAUGCGUAGCCGACCUGAGAGGGUGACCGGCCACACUGGGACUGAGACACGGCCCAGACUCCUACGGGAGGCAGCAGUAGGGAAUUUUCGGCAAUGGGGGAAACCCUGACCGAGCAACGCCGCGUGAAGGAAGAAGUAAUUCGUUAUGUAAACUUCUGUCAUAGAGGAAGAACGGUGGAUAUAGGGAAUGAUAUCCAAGUGACGGUACUCUAUAAGAAAGCCACGGCUAACUACGUG